GCGAACAUGGCGAAAUUGGUAGACGCGCAACGUUGAGGUCGUUGUAGGGAAACCUGUGGGGGUUCGAGUCCCCCUGUUCGCACCA
rnacentral:tRNA from 1 species